UACAGAGGUCUCAAGCGUUGUUCGGAUUCAUUGGGCGUAAAGGGUGUCGUAGGUGGCGCUGUAAGUCGGGUGUGAAAUUUCGGAGCUUAACUCCGAAACUGCAUUCGAUACUGCGGUGCUUGAGGACUGGAGAGGAGACUGGAAUUUACGGUGUAGCAGUGAAAUGCGUAGAUAUCGUAAGGAAGACCAGUGGCGAAGGCGGGUCUCUGGACAGUUCCUGACACUGAGACACGAAGGCCAGGGGAGCAAACGGG
rnacentral:rRNA from 1 species